rnacentral:rRNA from 1 species
AUGAACGCUAGCGGGAGGCUUAAUACAUGCAAGUCGAGCGGCAAGUUUUGAUAGCAAUAUUGGAACCUAGAGCGGCGCACGGGUGAGUAACGCGUACAUGACCUGCCCUAUACUGGGGGAUAGUCUUGGGAAACUGAGAAUAAUCCCGCAUGUGAUUAGAAUGCUGCAUGGCAAAUUAAUUAAAGCUGAGGCGGUAUAGGAUGGGUGUGCGUCUGAUUAGCUAGUUGGUAGUGUAACGGACUACCAAGGUGAUGAUCAGUAGGGGGCGUGAGAGCGUGACCCCCCCACACGGGUACUGAGACACGGACCCGACUCCUACGGGAGGCAGCAGUAAGGAAUAUUGGUCAAUGGAGGGAACUCUGAACCAGCCAUCCCGCGUGAAGGAUGAAGGGGCUCUGCCUUGUAAGCUUCUUUUGCAUGGGACGAAAAAACUUAAUUUAUUAAGGACUGACGGUACCAUGAGAAUAAGCACCGGCUAACUCCGUG